rnacentral:rRNA from 1 species
AUUGAACGCUGGCGGCAGGCCUAACCCAUGCAAGUCGAGCGAGCGGCGGACGGGUGAGUAAUGUAUGGGGACUGCCCGAUAGAGGGGGAUAACUACUGGAAACGGUGGCUAAUACCGCAUACUAUCGGAUAACCCAUAUGGGAUUAGCUAGUAGGUGGGGUAAAGGCUCACCUAGGCGGCGAUCUCUAGCUGGUCUGAGAGGAUGAUCAGGCACACUUGGACCUGGAAACGGGCCCGACCCCUCGGGGGGCAGGCGUUGGGAAUAUUGCACAAAGGGCGGAAGGCCUAAGGCGCCAUGCCGCGUGUAUGAAGAAGGCCUUAGGGUUGUAAAGUACUUUCGGCGGGGAGGCGUUACCCGCAGAAGAAGCACCGGCUAACUCCGUGCCAGCAGCCGCGGUAAUAC